rnacentral:antisense_RNA from 1 species
ACAUUUGAAUAUAGAAUUUAUUUUUCUCUUAAACAGAUGACCCCAUAGAAAGUUUCCGUUAUGGGAUUCUGGGUGACUCAUUUUCUCAUUUUCGUUUUUUUUUUUUUUUUGAGAUGUACUUUCCAUCUUGUUACCCAGGCUGGAGUGCAAUGGCACGAUCUCCGCUCACUGAAACUUCCGCCUCCCAGGUUACAACUGCAAAAAAUUAGGUUGGGGUGCCACCUACUGGUUGAAAAAUAUAUGAACUGCAUCCAGCCAGUUGCAAGAGCAAAGAAAAAACUUCCAAGCCCUCUUGAUUUUUGCCACACUCUCAUAG